rnacentral:misc_RNA from 1 species
AUCCUCUCCUCUCCUCUCUCUCUCAGUCCCUUUCCAUGUUCCUCUCCUCACUCAUGAAACCAGUGGCUUGAUUUAUUGAUGCACCCUACUAUCCUGAGAAAAUAACGAUCACAUACUCCCUAAGGCAAGGAGGCGCUGCCGCUUUUGCCUCAUCGUUGGUGAUCAGGGUCAACCGUCUUCCUUCACCCAACCUCUACAGUCGUCUUUGGUGUACUUGUGCGUGCGUUGGUGUGCUUGUGGUAUGGUAUUGGAUAUGGACAGGACGGGUAGACAAGGCUUAAGAGAUACUCGCUGGGACCCGGCCUUUAUGGAUAAGUUGGGGUAGACACGGCUUGAGAGACA